UACGUAGGGUGCGAGCGUUAAUCGGAAUUACUGGGCGUAAAGCGUGCGCAGGCGGUUCGUUGUGUCCGAUGUGAAAGCCCCGGGCUUAACCUGGGAAUGGCAUUGGAAACUGGCGAGCUUGAGUGCGGCAGAGGGGGGUGGAAUUCCGCGUGUAGCAGUGAAAUGCGUAGAGAUGCGGAGGAACACCGAUGGCGAAGGCAGCCCCCCUGGGUCGACACUGACGCUCAGGCACGAAAGCGUGGGGAGCAAACAGG
rnacentral:rRNA from 1 species